rnacentral:tRNA from 1 species
GGGCGAGUGGUGAAAUGGUAGACACGCUAGCCUUAGGAGCUAGUGGGGGAAACCCCGUGGAGGUUCAAGUCCUCUCUCGCCCACCA